rnacentral:rRNA from 1 species
UACGGAGGGGGCUAGCGUUGUUCGGAAUUACUGGGCGUAAAGCGCACGUAGGUGGCGACGUAAGUCGGGUGUGAAAGCCCCGGGCUCAACCUGGGAAUUGCAUUCGAGACUGCAUUGCUGGAGUACGGAAGAGGAAGGCGGAAUUCCCGGUGUAGUGGUGAAAUGCGUAGAUAUCGGGAGGAACACCAGUGGCGAAGGCGACUACCUGGCCUGUUCUUGACGCUGAGGCGCGAAAGCUGGGGGAGCAAACGGG